GCGAGAAACCUUUGCAAUGUGCGCAAGCACGACAAGGUUAAUCCGAGUGUUUCCUGCUAAAGGAAUCUUUUGUUAGUUGUAAAACCACUGAUGAAUAAGGGGUGGGCAAGUUCUGGUGUCAGCCGCCGCGGUAAAACCAGCACCUCAAGUGGUCAGGAUGAUUAUUGGGCCUAAAGCAUCCGUAGCCGGCUCUGUAAGUUUUCGGUUAAAUCUGUACGCUCAACGUACAGGCUGCCGGGAAUACUGCAGAGCUAGGGAGUGGGAGAGGUAGACGGUACUCGGUAGGAAGGGGGUAAAAUCCUUUGAUCUAUUGAUGACCACCUGUGGCGAAGGCGGUCUACCAGAACACGUCCGACGGUGAGGGAUGAAAGCUGGGGGAGCAAACCGGAUUAGAUACCCGGGUAGUCCCAGCUGUAAACCAUGC
rnacentral:rRNA from 2 species